GACGAACGCUGGCGGCGUGCUUAACACAUGCAAGUCGAACGGAAAGGCCCUGCUUUUGUGGGGUGCUCGAGUGGCGAACGGGUGAGUAACACGUGAGUAACCUGCCCUUGACUUUGGGAUAACUUCAGGAAACUGGGGCUAAUACCGGAUAGGAGCUCCUGCUGCAUGGUGGGGGUUGGAAAGUUUCGGCGGUUGGGGAUGGACUCGCGGCUUAUCAGCUUGUUGGUGGGGUAGUGGCUUACCAAGGCUUUGACGGGUAGCCGGCCUGAGAGGGUGACCGGCCACAUUGGGACUGAGAUACGGCCCAGACUCCUACGGGAGGCAGCAGUGGGGAAUAUUGCACAAUGGGCGGAAGCCUGAUGCAGCAACGCCGCGUGCGGGAUGACGGCCUUCGGGUUGUAAACCGCUUUCGCCUGUGAUGAAGCGUGAGUGACGGUAAUGGGUAAAGAAGCACCGGCUAACUACGUGCCAGCAGCCGCGGUGAUACGUAGGGUGCGAGCGUUGUCCGGAUUUAUUGGGCGUAAAGGGCUCGUAGGUGGUUGAUCGCGUCGGAAGUGUAAUCUUGGGGCUUAACCCUGAGCGUGCUUUCGAUACGGGUUGACUUGAGGAAGGUAGGGGAGAAUGGAAUUCCUGGUGGAGCGGUGGAAUGCGCAGAUAUCAGGAGGAACACCAGUGGCGAAGGCGGUUCUCUGGGCCUUUCCUGACGCUGAGGAGCGAAAGCGUGGGGAGCGAACAGGCUUAGAUACCCUGGUAGUCCACGCUGUAAACGGUGGGUACUAGGUGUGGGGUCCAUUCCACGGGUUCCGUGCCGUAGCUAACGCUUUAAGUACCCCGCCUGGGGAGUACGGCCGCAAGGCUAAAACUCAAAGGAAUUGACGGGGCCCCGCACAAGCGGCGGAGCAUGCGGAUUAAUUCGAUGCAACGCGUAGAACCUUACCUGGGUUUGACAUGGAUCGGGAGCGCUCAGAGAUGGGUGUGCCUCUUUUGGGGUCGGUUCACAGGUGGUGCAUGGCUGUCGUCAGCUCGUGUCGUGAGAUGUUGGGUUAAGUCCCGCAACGAGCGCAACCCUUGUUCACUGUUGCCAGCACGUUAUGGUGGGGACUCAGUGGAGACCGCCGGGGUCAACUCGGAGGAAGGUGGGGAUGACGUCAAGUCAUCAUGCCCCUUAUGUCCAGGGCUUCACGCAUGCUACAAUGGCUGGUACAGAGAGUGGCGAGCCUGUGAGGGUGAGCGAAUCUCGGAAAGCCGGUCUCAGUUCGGAUUGGGGUCUGCAACUCGACCUCAUGAAGUCGGAGUCGCUAGUAAUCGCAGAUCAGCAACGCUGCGGUGAAUACGUUCCCGGG
rnacentral:rRNA from 1 species